UGGGGAAUUUUGGACAAUGGGGGAAACCCUGAUCCAGCCAUUCCGCGUGUGCGAUGAAGGCCUUCGGGUUGUAAAGCACUUUUGGCAGGAAAGAAAUCGCAUGGAUUAACACUCUGUGUGGAUGACGGUACCUGCAGAAUAAGCACCGGCUAACUACGUGCCAGCAGCCGCGGUAAUACGUAGGGUGCAAGCGUUAAUCGGAAUUACUGGGCGUAAAGCGUGCGCAGGCGGUUCGGAAAGAAAGGUGUGAAAUCCCAGGGCUUAACCUUGGAACUGCACUUUUAACUACCGAGCUAGAGUAUGUCAGAGGGGGGUGGAAUUCCGCGUGUAGCAGUGAAAUGCGUAGAUAUGCGGAGGAACACCGAUGGCGAAGGCAGCCCCCUGGGAUAAUACUGACGCUCAUGCACGAAAGCGUGGGGAGCAAACAGG
rnacentral:rRNA from 1 species